rnacentral:rRNA from 1 species
CAUUUGAGUCUGGGAUUUCUGAAUGGGGAAACCCACUUACAUAAGUAAGUAUCGCUGCGUGAAUACAUAGCGCAGCGAGGCGAACCGGGGGAACUGAAACAUCUAAGUACCCCGAGGAAAAGAAAUCAACCGAGAUUCCGAAAGUAGCGGCGAGCGAAAUUGGACUAGCCCUUAAGCUUUACACGCGUUAGACGAACGGUCUGGAAAGUCCGACGAUACAGGGUGAUAGUCCCGUAGUUGACGACGUGUGUUCAGUGAAAUCGAGUAGGGCGGGACACGUGAUAUCCUGUCUGAAUAUGGGGGGACCAUCCUCCAAGGCUAAAUACUACUGACUGACCGAUAGUGAACCAGUACCGUGAGGGAAAGGCGAAAAGAACCCCUGUGAGGGGAGUGAAAUAGAACCUGAAACCGUGUACGU